rnacentral:rRNA from 1 species
GGAGUUUGGGCCGUGUCUCAGUCCCAAUGUGGCCGUACACCCUCUCAGGCCGGCUACUGAUCGUCGCCUUGGUGGGCCGUUACCUCACCAACUAGCUAAUCAGACGCGGGUCCAUCCUAUGCCACCGGAGUUUUUCACACUGUACCAUGCGAUACUGUGCGCUUAUGCGGUAUUAACAGUCGUUUCCAACUGUUAUCCCCCUGCAUAGGGCAGGUUACCCACGCGUUACUCACCCGUCCGCCACUAAGUAGCUCAAAUGAGUUUAUCAGAAGCAAGCUUCAUCAAUCCUCGGGAGAACUACUCCGUUCGACUUGCAUGUGUUAAGCACGCCGCCAGCGUUUAUC